AGUCGUACGAAGCUUACACGCAUAAUUGAUUAUGACGUACUUGUACUGAUUGAGAUUUUAACACGAAGUGAGUGGCGAACGGGUGAGUAACACGUGGGUAACCUGCCCAGAAGUAGGGGAUAACACCUGGAAACAGAUGCUAAUACCGUAUAACAGAGAAAACCGCAUGGUUUUCUUUUAAAAGAUGGCUCUGCUAUCACUUCUGGAUGGACCCGCGGCGUAUUAGCUAGUUGGUGAGGUAAAGGCUCACCAAGGCAGUGAUACGUAGCCGACCUGAGAGGGUAAUCGGCCACAUUGGGACUGAGACACGGCCCAGACUCCUACGGGAGGCAGCAGUAGGGAAUCUUCCACAAUGGACGCAAGUCUGAUGGAGCAACGCCGCGUGAGUGAAGAAGGGUUUCGGCUCGUAAAGCUCUGUUGUUAAAGAAGAACGUGGGUAAGAGUAACUGUUUACCCAGUGACGGUAUUUAACCAGAAAGCCACGGCUAACUACGUGCCAGCAGCCGCGGUAAUACGUAGGUGGCAAGCGUUAUCCGGAUUUAUUGGGCGUAAAGCGAGCGCAGGCGGUCUUUUAAGUCUAAUGUGAAAGCCUUCGGCUCAACCGAAGAAGUGCAUUGGAAACUGGGAGACUUGAGUGCAGAAGAGGACAGUGGAACUCCAUGUGUAGCGGUGAAAUGCGUAGAUAUAUGGAAGAACACCAGUGGCGAAGGCGGCUGUCUGGUCUGCAACUGACGCUGAGGCUCGAAAGCAUGGGUAGCGAACAGGAUUAGAUACCCUGGUAGUCCAUGCCGUAAACGAUGAUUACUAAGUGUUGGAGGGUUUCCGCCCUUCAGUGCUGCAGCUAACGCAUUAAGUAAUCCGCCUGGGGAGUACG
rnacentral:rRNA from 1 species